rnacentral:misc_RNA from 1 species
GAUGAAGAACGUAGCGAAAUGCGAUAAGUAAUGUGAAUUGCAGAAUUCAGUGAAUCAUCGAAUCUUUGAACGCACAUUGCGCCCCCUGGUAUUCCGGGGGGCAUGCCUGUCCGAGCGUCAUUACAACCCUCAAGCUCAGCUUGGUAUUGGGCCCCGCCGACCCGGCGGACCCUAAAGUCAGUGGCGGUGCCGUCCGGCUCCGAGCGUAGUAAUUCUUCUCGCUCUGGAGGUCCGGUCGUGUGCUCGCCAGCAACCCCCAAUUUUUUUCAGGUUGACCUCGGAUCAGGUAGGGAUACCCGCUGAACUUAAGCAUAUCAAUAAGCGGAGGA